rnacentral:rRNA from 1 species
AAUGAACGUUGGCGGCGUGGAUUAGGCAUGCAAGUCGAGCGAGAAGAGUUUUGAAGCUUGCUUUAGAACUCGGACAGCGGCGAAAGGGAGAGUAACGCGUAGUUAUGUGCCCUAGGGUCCGGAAUAGCCACGGGAAACUGUGGGUAAUGCCGGAUAACAUCCCCGGAUCAAAGGUGCGAUUCCGCCCUAGGAGCAGACUGCGUCCUACUAGCUAGUUGGUGGGGUAAUGGCCCACCAAGGCAAUGAUGGGUAGCGGGUGUGAGAGCAUGACCCGUCUCACUGGGACUGAGACACUGCCCAGACACCUACGGGUGGCUGCAGUCGAGAAUCUUCGGCAAUGGGCGAAAGCCUGACCGAGCGAUGCCGCGUGCGGGAUGAAGGCCCUCGGGUUGUAAACCGCUGUCGUAGGGGAGGAAGGUUCCGUGAAGAGCGGAAUUUGACCUAUCCUAGGAGGAAGUACGGGCUAAGUUCGUGCCAGCCGCCGCGGUAAUAC